UACAGAGGUCUCAAGCGUUUGUUCGGAUUCAUUGGGCGUAAAGGGUGUGUAGGUGGCGCGCUAAGUCGGGUGUGAAGUUUCGGAGCUUAACUCCGAAACUGCAUUCGAUACUGGCGUGCUUGAGGACUGGAGAGGAGACUGGAAUUUACGGUGUAGCAGUGAAAUGCGUAGAUAUCGUAAGGAAGACCAGUGGCGAAGGCGGGUCUCUGGACAGUUCCUGACAGCUGAGACACGAAGGCCAGGGGAGCAAACGGG
rnacentral:rRNA from 1 species